AUUCCAGCUCCAAUAGCGUAUAUUAAAGUUGUUGCAGUUAAAAAGCUCGUAGUUGGAGUUCAGAGUGAGCUCAGCUGGUCGGCCUAAUGGGUCAGAACUGGUUGACUCUCUCUUGUUUGUGGGUCUCGCCCGGAGUUAACUCUUCGGAUGUGGAUCCCACAUCGUUUACCUUGAAAAAAUUAGAGUGUUCAAAGCAGGCGUUUGCUUGAAUAUAUUAGCAUGGAAUAAUGGAAUAGGACGCUGGUUCUAUUUUGUUGGUUUUGAGAACCAGAGUAAUGAUUAAUAGGGACAGUUGGGGGCAUUCAUAUUUCAUUGUCAGAGGUGAAAUUCUUGGAUUUAUGAAAGAUGAACUUCUGCGAAAGCAUUUGCCAAGGAUGUUUUCAUUA
rnacentral:rRNA from 1 species